GAUGAACGCUGGCGGCGUGCCUAAUACAUGCAAGUCGAGCGAACAGACGAGGAGCUUGCUCCUCUGACGUUAGCGGCGGACGGGUGAGUAACACGUGGAUAACCUACCUAUAAGACUGGGAUAACUUCGGGAAACCGGAGCUAAUACCGGAUAAUAUAUUGAACCGCAUGGUUCAAUAGUGAAAGACGGUUUUGCUGUCACUUAUAGAUGGAUCCGCGCCGCAUUAGCUAGUUGGUGAGGUAACGGCUUACCAAGGCAACGAUGCGUAGCCGACCUGAGAGGGUGAUAGGCCACACUGGAACUGAGACACGGUCCAGACUCCUACGGGAGGCAGCAGUAGGGAAUCUUCCGCAAUGGGCGAAAGCCUGACGGAGCAACGCCGCGUGAGUGAUGAAGGUCUUCGGAUCGUAAAACUCUGUUAUUAGGGAAGAACAAAUGUGUAAGUAACUAUGCACGUCUUGACGGUACCUAAUCAGAAAGCCACGGCUAACUACGUG
rnacentral:rRNA from 1 species